rnacentral:rRNA from 1 species
UUAAAUAAGAUACCCUAUAGUCUUCUUAGCUAGGAGAUAUAAAGUAAAGGAAAAUUUCUGCUAUAGGAUUCUAUUUAAUUUGAUUAGGUAGUUGAUAGGGUAACGGCCUACCAAGCCAACGAUCAAAAGUCAAGUUUGAAAGAACCUCUGGCCACAUUGGGGAUGAAAUCUCCCAAGUAGUAAUAACACUACCAGCAGUCGAGAAUAUUAGUCAAUGCUCGUAAGAGUGAACUAGCUAACUGAAAUCAUAGAAUUUCUUCAAAUUCAUGAUGUCGUAAGGGAAAAUAAUGAUAAUACCUUACUAUGAGUGUCGUCCAAAUCUGGUGCCAGUAAGACUCGGUAAGACCAGAGACGCAAACGUUAAUCAUCAUAAAGCAGGCGUAAAGGGUUUGUAGGCAGCUUUUAUAAAAUUAUAUUAUUUUGAAAAAAAUAUCAAAAACUAAAUUGAAAGCUAGAAUCAAAAAGAGGUUAUAGGUGUAUAACGCCUAGGGGAGGGCUGAUAUCCAUAGAUCCUAGGCAGAAUACUCAGGGCGAGGGCCCACUCUCCACUAAUGAUUGACGCUGAGAAACGAAGGUUAGGGUAGGAAAAUAGGAUUAGAUACCCCGGUACUCCUUUUCU